UUUUUCUCGGCCAUUAAAAAAAAAAGAAUAGCAGAACAACAACACCAGACAAAAAAACACAACAGUACAGGUUCAAACAAAUAGAUCCAAGUAUCAAUGUGCAAAAUCAGGCAAGAGGAAAAAGUUGGGCAGAGGUGCAACAAUUAGGGGAGAACACCGGAAGAAGACUCAGCAGGAAAAAGUCAUCGAAAGAACGCUCACGCGCCAGAGUGUAGAAAAUUGGUGAGAUCUUAUGUCGGCAUGUCAGUCCACGCCCUUCAAUAGAUGGUGACAAGUCUUUAGUGAUAGACCGAUCGGCGAGUGGGCUUCCUCUUAAGGUAGGCAGUGACGCUUCAUUCUCCUUCUACAGGUCACUAGAAGCUUACCCACUUAGAAACUCUACUUCCUCUUUAAAAAAAAACUAUGCCACUAAAGGUGGUUGUCCUCUGAUACCAUGUUGAAAAGAAUUCUUGGAGAGAAGAAUUUGUAUUUCAGUAUGUAUUUGUACACUCUUGCUAUUUAUAUACACAAUCCUAGAUACAAAAAAAAUCUAGAUAUUCUAGGAAACUAAUAAAAAG
rnacentral:misc_RNA from 1 species